rnacentral:rRNA from 1 species
AUUGAACGCUGGCGGCAUGCCUUACACAUGCAAGUCGAACGGUAACAGGUCUUCGGAUGCUGACGAGUGGCGAACGGGUGAGUAAUACAUCGGAACGUGCCUAGUAGUGGGGGAUAACUACUCGAAAGAGUGGCUAAUACCGCAUGAGAUCUACGGAUGAAAGCAGGGGAUCGCAAAACCUUGGGCUACUAGAGCGGCCGAUGGCAGAUUAGGUAGUUGGUGGGAUAAAAGCUUACCAAGCCGACGAUCUGUAGCUGGUCUGAGAGGACGAUCAGCCACACUGGGAAUGAGAAACGGCCCAGACUCCUACGGGAGGCAGCAGUGGGGAAUUUUGGACAAUGGGCGCAAGCCUGAUCCAGCAAUGCCGCGUGCAGGAUGAAGGCCUUCGGGUUGUAAACUGCUUUUGUACGGAACGAAAAGCCCCGGGUUAAUACCCUGGGGUCAUGACGGUACCGUAAGAAUAAGCACCGGCUAACUACGUGCCAGCCGCCGCCGUAA